rnacentral:rRNA from 1 species
UACGUAGGGUGCGAGCGUUGUCCGGAAUUAUUGGGCGUAAAGAGCUCGUAGGCGGUUUGUCGCGUCGGCCGUGAAAACUUGGGGCUUAACUCCAAGCUUGCGGUCGAUACGGGCAGACUUGAGUUCGGCAGGGGAGACUGGAAUUCCUGGUGUAGCGGUGAAAUGCGCAGAUAUCAGGAAGAACACCCGUGGCUAAGGCGGUUCUCUAGUACGGUACUGACGCUGAGACGCGAAAGCGUGGGGAGCGAACAGG